rnacentral:rRNA from 1 species
AGAACAAGUACGAGAGUAACUGNUNGUACCUUGACGGUACCUGACCAGAAAGCCACGGCUAANUACGUGCCAGCAGCCGCNGUAAUACGUAGGUGGCCAGCGUUGUCCGGAAUUAUUGGGCGUAAAGCGCGCGCAGGCGGUUCUUUAAGUCUGAUGUGAAAGCCCACGGCUCAACCGUGGAGGGUCAUUGGAAACUGGGGAACUUGAGUGCAGGAGAGAAAAGUGGAAUUCCACGUGUAGCGGUGAAAUGCGUAGAGAUGUGGAGGAACACCAGUGGCGAAGGCGGCUUUUUGGCCUGUAACUGACGCUGAGGCGCGAAAGCGUGGGGAGCAAACAGGAUUAGAUACCCUGGUAGUCCACGCCGUAAACGAUGAGUGCUAGGUGUUGGGGGGUUCCAUCCUCAGUGCUGACGUUAACACAUUAAGCACUCCGCCUGGGGAGUACGACCGCAAGGUUGAAACUCAAAGGAAUUGACGGGGGCCCGCACAAGCAGUGGAGCAUGUGGUUUAAUUCGAAGCAACGCGAAGAACCUUACCAGGUCUUGACAUCCUCUGACCACUUGAGAGAUCAAGCUUUCCCCUUCGGGGGACAGAGUGACAGGUGGUGCAUGGUUGUCGUCAGCUCGUGUCGUGAGAUGUUGGGUUAAGUCCCGCAACGAGCGCAACCCUUGACCUUAGUUGCCAGCAUUCAGUUGGGCACUCUAAGGUGACUGCCGGUGACAAACCGGAGGAAGGUGGGGAUGACGUCAAAUCAUCAUGCCCCUUAUGACCUGGGCUACACACGUGCUACAAUGGAUGGUACAAAGGGCUGCGAAACCGCAAGGUGGAGCCAAUCCCAAAAAGCCAUUCUCAGUUCGGAUUGUAGGCUGCAACUCGCCUACAUGAAGCCGGAAUUGCUAGUAAUCGCGGAUCAGCAUGCCGCGGUGAAUACGUUCCCGGGCCUUGUACACACCGCCCGUCACACCACGAGAGUUUGUAACACCCGAAGUCGGUGAGGUAACCUUUUGGAGCCAGCCGCCGAAGGUGGGACAGAUGAUUGGGGUGAAGUCGUAANCAAGGUAAC